rnacentral:rRNA from 1 species
GGGCGUAAAGAGCUCGUAGGCGGCUUGUCACGUCGGAUGUGAAAACUCGGGGCUCAACCCCGAGCCUGCAUUCGAUACGGGCUAGCUAGAGUGUUGCAGGGGAGACUGGAAUUCCUGGUGUAGCGGUGAAAUGCGCAGAUAUCAGGAGGAACACCGGUGGCGAAGGCGGGUCUCUGGGCAACUACUGACGCUGAGGAGCGAAAGCGUGGGGAGCGAACAGGAUUAGAUACCCUGGUAGUCCACGCCGUAAACGUUGGGCGCUAGGUGUGGGGAACCUUCCACGUUCUCCGUGCCGUAGCUAACGCAUUAAGCGCCCCGCCUGGGGAGUACGGCCGCAAGGCUAAAACUCAAAGGAAUUGACGGGGGCCCGCACAAGCGGCGGAGCAUGCGGCUUAACUCGAUGCAACGCGAAGAACCUUACCUAGGCUUGACAUAUACCGAAAACUCGUAGAGAUACGGGGUCCGCAAGGGCGGUAUACAGGUGGUGCAUGGUUGUCGUCAGCUCGUGUCGUGAGAUGUUGGGUUAAGUCCCGCAACGAGCGCAACCCUCGUCCUAUGUUGCCAGCGGAUAAUGCCGGGGACUCAUAGGAGACUGCCGGGGUCAACUCGGAGGAAGGUAAU